AGGACGAACGCUGGCGGCGUGCUUAACACAUGCAAGUCGAGCGGUAAGGCCCUUUCGGGGGUACACGAGCGGCGAACGGGUGAGUAACACGUGAGCAAUCUGCCCUUCACUUCGGGAUAAGCCUCGGAAACGGGGUCUAAUACCGGAUAUGACUGCGCCAUGCAUGUGGUGUGGUGGAAAGUUCUGGCGGUGAGGGAUGAGCUCGCGGCCUAUCAGCUUGUUGGUGGGGUAAUGGCCUACCAAGGCUUCAACGGGUAGCCGGCCUGAGAGGGUGACCGGCCACACUGGGACUGAGACACGGCCCAGACUCCUACGGGAGGCAGCAGUGGGGAAUAGUUGGACAAGU
rnacentral:rRNA from 1 species